rnacentral:rRNA from 1 species
AUGGAAGGGCCAUCGCUCAACGGAUAAAAGCUACCCUGGGGAUAACAGGCUUAUCUCCCCCAAGAGUCCACAUCGACGGGGAGGUUUGGCACCUCGAUGUCGGCUCAUCGCAUCCUGGGGCUGUAGUCGGUCCCAAGGGUUGGGCUGUUCGCCCAUUAAAGCGGUACGCGAGCUGGGUUCAGAACGUCGUGAGACAGUUCGGUCCCUAUCCGUCGCGGGCGUAGGAAAUUUGAGAGGACCUGUCCUUAGUACGAGAGGACCGGGAUGGACAUACCUCUGGUGUACCAGUUGUGCCGCCAGGCGCAUCGCUGGGUAGCUACGUAUGGAUGUGAUAAACGCUGAAAGCAUCUAAGUGUGAAACACACCUCGAGAUGAGAUUUCCCAUUCCUUUAUGGAAGUAAGACCCCUGAAAGAUGAUCAGGUAGAUAGGUUAGAAGUGGCAGUGCGGUGACGCAUGAAGCGGACUAAUACUAAUCGGUCGAGGACUUAACCAAG